UGGGGACUCUUCGGAGCCUGGCGCUUUUGGAUGAGCCUGCGUCGGAUUAGCUUGUGUGGGGUAAAGGCCUACCAAGGCAACGAUCCGUAGCUGGUCUGAGAGGAUGAUCAGCCACACUGGGACUGAGACACGGCCCAGACUCCUACGGGAGGCAGCAGUGGGGAAUAUUGGGCAAUGGGCGAAAAGCCUGACCCAGGCAAUGCCGCGUGUGGUGAAGAAGGCCUUAGGGUUGUAAAGCACUUUCGCUGGGGGAAGAAAGUCUACAUGGUUAAUAGCCUUGUAGUAUGACGUUAUCCAGUAAAGAAGCACCGGCUAACUCUGUGCCAGCAGCCGCGGUAA
rnacentral:rRNA from 1 species